rnacentral:misc_RNA from 1 species
AAGUCGUAACAAGGUUUCCGUAGGUGAACCUGCGGAAGGAUCAUUAACGUAGUUUUGAUUUGGAGGAGAAAAGAGUUAACUCUCUUCUCUCUUUCCACUUCUUCACCACAUGUUGUGCUCUUAAAAGAUUGUCUUUGGUGGUUAAACUCAAAAUUUAUUUUUGAGGCACCCGUUGUUGUUAGUAAAAUAACCGCAACCAACUCGUGUUUUUGUUUGAUGUCUUGCAAAAGAUAGGAAAGAAAGACGACAAGCAAUGUUUUGCUUGGAAGAGGGGCCACCGCUUUUUUUAAACAACUUUUGUCUGUAUUUAUCUUUAUUCUGUUGAAAUACUUCAAAAACAUUUUAACAAGAAACAACUUUUGACAACGGAUCUCUUGGCUCUC